rnacentral:rRNA from 1 species
AGUGAACGCUGGCGGUAGGCCUAACACAUGCAAGUCGAACGGCAGCACAGUAAGAGCUUGCUCUUACGGGUGGCGAGUGGCGGACGGGUGAGGAAUACAUCGGAAUCUACUUUUUCGUGGGGGAUAACGUAGGGAAACUUACGCUAAUACCGCAUACGACCUACGGGUGAAAGCAUGGGAUCUUCGGACCUUGCGCGAUUGAAUUAGCCGAUGUCGGAUUAGCUAGUUGGCGGGGUAAAGGCCCACCAAGGCGACGAUCCGUAGCUGGUCUGAGAGGAUGAUCAGCCACACUGGAACUGAGACACGGUCCAGACUCCUACGGGAGGCAGCAGUGGGGAAUAUUGGACAAUGGGCGCAAGCCUGAUCCAGCCAUACCGCGUGGGUGAAGAAGGCCUUCGGGUUGUAAAGCCCUUUUGUUGGGAAAGAAAAGCAGCAGGUUAAUACCCAGCUGUUCUGACGGUACCCAAAGAAUAAGCACCGGCUAACUUCGUG